rnacentral:lncRNA from 1 species
CUCAGGGCACAAAAUAAAAAGAGUUAGAAAAUGUCCUUGAUCAUUGGCGAAGAAAAGUAGAAGCAUGGUGAAAGGCGGCGAAAAGUAGGGUUUGCGGUCUUCAGCAGAGUAGAAAUGUCAGCGCUGAUCUUUUCAGAGCUGGCAUUCUUCAGCGCUGGCAGCAUAGUCAGAGUGGAAUUGCAGCGCUUGAAACAAAAACAUUAACACCCAGAAUCAAAGCAUCCGCACAAGCAACCAAAGACAAGGAAAAUACAAAAAACGAAAGCAAAAACAAGAAAAAGAAAAACAAACCAACAGUGGGUUGCCUCCCACCAAGUGCUAGUUUUAAAGUCGCCAACCCGACGUAGAGGAACCCUUAACCAAAAUCACUAUGAAACAUCAGCUAAAUUAGUCCUUGUGAUAACACGUCAUCCUCCAUUUCAGCUGCGGGUCCUCUUAAUGAGCAAGCAGUGCUCAUCACAUUCAUCACUCUCUCGAACCAAGAACUAGGUCGAGAGCUCUCCUCUUUCUUCUCC